UACGUAGGCAGCGAGCGUUGUUCGGAAUUACUGGGCGUAAAGAGUGUGUAGGCGGUGUUCCAAGUCUGGUGUGAAAUCUCCCGGCUUAACUGGGAGGGUGCGCCGGAAACUGGAAUGCUCGAGGGUGGGAGAGGUAAGCGGAAUUCCUGGUGUAGCGGUGAAAUGCGUAGAUAUUCGCAAGAACACCAGUGGCGAAGGCGGCUCACUGGCCCGGUACUGACGCUGAGGUGCGAAAGCGUGGGGAGCAAACAGG
rnacentral:rRNA from 1 species